AACUAACAAGGAUUCCCUCAGUAACGGCGAGUGAAGAGGGAAGAGCCCAGCACCGAAGCCUGUGACCAAUUGGUUUCUAGGCAAUGUGGUGUUUAGGUCGUUCUUCAGAGACACUGUCCCACCCUAAGUCCAGUAUUGAGUACGGCGUCGACCUGUCCCAGAGAGGGUGAAAGGCCCGUAAGGGUGGGAUGCAGACUGGCCAGUGUUUCUCUAGAUAGACCUUGGAGUCGGGUUGUUUGUGAAUGCAGCCCAAAGCGGGUGGUAAACUCCAUCCAAGGCUAAAUACUUGCACGAGUCCGAUAGCGAACAAGUACCGUGAGGGAAAGUUGAAAAGUACUUUGAAGAGAGAGUAAACAGUGCGUGAAACCGCUCAAAGGUAAACGGGUAGAGUUGAACUGCAAGCUCUGAGAAAUCAGCUAGCGAGUAUGGCAAGAGAUUUGGUCUUGUGGGUUGGCCUCUGGAGCCCUCGGUUUGCCGGGGGUCUGACCCUUCGGGGUUGAUGCGUGUAGUGCUUAGCAGGCACUGUGCGUUCCAGUGGCGUCGAACCUGUUCGCUAGUGCAUUUUCUCAGAGUGUUCACCACGACCGACGCGGCCGUCUGUCUGCUGUGGUCAAACCUGGCCUGCUUAGUCCUUGUGGCUUCGCGGGUUAGGGAUGGCAGGUAGCUUGACAGUGCGUAUCAGCGAUGGUACGUGCUUUCCUGUGUAAUAAGCUGGCCACAGCAGCACUGUACGGUGCGUCGGAGACGGCGGCUUGGUAUAGGUGCGCGUCGCUUUGUUCGGCAUAGCAGCUCCGAGUCUGGUUGUCGUGUUGCUUGUUACGGCAAGCCCGAUGAUGUCUCGGGGUUGUGUUGUUGAUGGUGGCGUGUGCUAUGCAUUAAAGGGCCCAUAGUCUGUGGUGUAGUGGUAGACGAUCUACCCGACCCGUCUUGAAACACGGACCAAGGAGAGCAACAUGUACGCGAGUCAUUGGGUUCUUACGAAACCUAAAGGCGCAGUGAAAGUAAAGGUUCGACUUUGUGCGGACUGAGGUGAGAUCCCGUCGUUUCUCAUACUUGCUACCAAGUUACCGAGCGACGGGCGCAUCACCGGCCCGCCCCAUGGCGUAGACACGAUCCCCGGAUCUGUGCACCGCCGGGACGGAGCAUGAGCGUACACGUUGAGACCCGAAAGAUGGUGAACUAUGCUUGCGUAGGUUGAAGCCAGAGGAAACUCUGGUGGAGGACCGCAGCGAUUCUGACGUGCAAAUCGAUCGUCAAACGUGAGUAUAGGGGCGAAAGACUAA
rnacentral:rRNA from 1 species